UACAGAGGUCACAAGCGUUAUCCGGAUUUAUUGGGCGUAAAGCGUUUCGUAGGUGGUUAGGAAAGUUACUCUUCAAAGACUACGGCUCAACCGGAGGAAGGGGAGUAAUACUACCUGACUUGAAAUAUGGUGGGGCUUCUGGAACUGAUGGUGUAGUAGUGAAAUACGUUGAUAUCAUCAGGAACUCCGAGGGCGAAGGCAGGAAGCUAAUCAUUUUUUGACACUGAGGAACGACAGCUAGGGGA
rnacentral:rRNA from 1 species